rnacentral:lncRNA from 1 species
UAGGAGCAAGAAAGAUUUAAAGACCAUCUCUUUCCAUUCGAUAGGAUACUCUUAUGGCGUGUAGGGGUAUCAUGUGAUUAGAUCCCAUAAAGAAGAACGUGAAAGGAAGAACUUAUUUUUCUACAAAACUCUAUAUCUUGAAAUCCUAAGUUUGUUGUAUGUGAUACAAAGUUGUAUGAAAAAUAAAGUAUCUAAUCUAUAUGAUUAAAAUUAUUUUAAUCAUAAAAAAAAAAUCUCAAAUCAUAAAAAUUUUAGAUAUGA